UCCGCAUACACCCCCUUAUCCUGUUUCCUCUCCCCUUUGUUUUUGUCUGUAGAUCAAUUCCAAACACCCAAUUAGAAAAAUCAACCAUACCUGCUAAAUACACACAUACACCAACAUCAGUUAUCCCAAAACACACACUCCCUGAAUCACUCUGUUGUCUCCCCUCGACAUGCUUGGCCGGCAACCGGAGAACUCACCGGUGUCGAUGCCGGCGGUGGAUGUUUCUAGCAAACGGCAUCCCCAACCUUUCUCCUUCAUGUACUUGUUAACUACAGCCCCCACACCCACCCGGUUCGAAGAGAGAGAGAGAGAGGGAGAAUAGAGAGAGAGGCGACGGUAUGAUGAAGGCGACUGCGUUGAUAAAGAUGAGGAUGAUGGUGGUUUGUCGUCUCUCGUCUGACCGGCGCAACGACGAUGGUUCUGACGACGCGACUCUACCUUCAACAAGCUCCGAUGGAUUUUCGUGGUGGUUCGUGGUGGUGAUGUCUACGGCGGUGAUGGUGGUGGCUGUUGUCAAGUUAUUUAGGGUCAACUUGGUUCACUCGUUUCAUGAACUGAUUUGGUUCCGGUUCGGGUUCGAGUCAACGGGUCAAAGGCAGUCAAACAUGGUCAAGGGCAGAAUUUGUUCAAGUUCGGGUCUUGGUUCGAGAUGCGGGAUCGAGUCAACUCAGCCAAACGGGUCAGCCGGGUCAACUCGGUCAGAACCGAGUCAACUCGGGUCAACAUAAUCAAACCAGUCAACAGCAGUCAACUGGUCAGCCGUGGUUCGGGUCAGGUUGUUUCAGUCUCGGAGUAUGCAGCUUGGUUCAGUUCGAGCGGUUUGGUUUCGGGUCUCGGUCAACACCUGGUCAAUGCCAGUCAAACGUCAAAGCGGGUCAGGAAGUCAAUAAAAGUCAACUGGUCAAGGAUGGUCAACUCAAGAAGCGGAAUGUUGUAGAAUGCACGCUAGCGAGUCACGUCUUGGAAACGACAUCUCGAAGUCGUAUUAAGCUAGCGUUGCACAAGAAAAUCCAGGUUAAAUUUUCAAAACUAUGGAACGGUUGGAAUAAGAGAACCCAUGGGAAUUCGAGUAAUUAGCAGGCGUUAUAUUUCUAGAAGUCUUAGCUUAUUUGCUUCCGUUGUGCAAGGAAGAUACCAGUCCAGUCACGCCAGCUCUGAUAUUUCGGGGUGUGACAGAUUGGUAUCAGAGCUAUAGGUUUCAGCGAAUUAGCUUUCUAUAGAGAUACCUAGGCUCUAACCUCACUUUCCUCUGGGGACUUAGAUUCAUAAGAUGUUGAAUACACACAGAACGCCUAGUACUCGAAUAUGGGUUCCAACCGUUGCCGAAAACAAUGAGUCAACAAUUUUGGUUUUAAACAUACACAAGUGUUGUGUUGAUACACAGUUCAUGAAACAUAUUCAUACAUUAAGCAAAACUUUGAGAGUUUUGGAUAACAUGCAUUUAGGACCUUUGGAAAACUUAUGUCGAAAUACAUUAAAGGUCCUCAAAUAGAAACCGUGACUAACGACUCGAGCAAAGGCCAUUAUCUAUAUUGUCUAUACUAUUUUAAUUACCCGAGCAGGUAACCUACGCGGAACGAAACGUUAGUGCACAAGAAUACAUGAAACCUAAACUAUACGUCAACGGACGUCGAAUUACAUCACACACGACUUUCGAUGCAAGGCCUUUGGAUAACAUGAUUGGGCAUGACAACAGCGAUGCUAAUCCCGUCAGUGGGAGAACUACGGAUUGAAAUGCGGCAUUUUGCCAAGUGAUCUUUCAAGCAACACGAAUCAUGCGGAGGUAGGUUGAAACAACAUUUCAUAACGAUCGAUACUUGGUCUAAUGAGACUCACAACUAUUGGCGCUGCAAAAGAAGUCAUAUGUCUCUGCACUCCCCUUCUAUCAUUAAUGGCGAUUACGCUGUGUUGGAAAUUCCAGGUAAAGUCCUUAAUUUUUUUUAUUGAAAUUCUGACCUUUGCAUAUAACAAGUAGAUUUUUGCAUUUCUAUUCCCUCUAAUGGUCAUUUCAUCGUGAAGAUUUUAUUUCAUGAUAGCAAACACUCAUUUGCUUAUUUUUUGACAAAUUCGUAUGCUACACAUGCGUUGUUUGUUACGCAUGUGGUUUCACUUUGAAUGGUUGUCUUGUCAACAUCUCAUAUAUUAUCUCGCUAUACUCAAUCUUUGCAUUGUGAUCUAGAUGACUCGUAUUAUUGUAAAGUGUUGACUCCUUAAAAUCGAGUUGACGGAUUUCUUGGAAAACUCAUCUUCUUUUGAGAGGCAUUCAUGGUUUUUCGUUGUAACCAUGUCGAAACUUUCUUAUUGUUACAUGAAUUCAUUGUUGGAUUGUAUUUCAACCAAGUUCAAUUGAUUGAACUUGCUCGUAAUAUAUAUUCGAUUCAAGAUUCCAUAUGAUGGAUUAAGGCCAUCAUAUUCGAAAUAAUCCCAACAAGCACUUCAUUUGCUUUGAACCAUAUCAGGCUUGUUUGGUUUUCGACUUCAUUGAAUCGCUUCUUUGUUCACGAUCACCUUGUGGUGACGUUUUUCACAAGUGUGAAGCUUGCGCUAAUAUCGUUGCUCACCUCAUGUACGGAUUUAAUUAAUUAUUUAUUUGUUUAUUGAUAUUAAAUCUGCUUUGUUGAUUUAUCGUAUUAAAGCAAUCUUAACACAAUCGUGUGUUAAGAUAAUGGUACACAAAUUUAUGUCAUAUUUCGGUGUACCACUUAACGGUUCUUUCAGCAUCGAUUAAACAUUUUGUGAUAUUUAUUGCUCUUUCAUUUUUGAUCGAAAAACACUAUUUAUUUGUUUCAUUUUUCAAUCGAAAAUCUUAUGAGAUUUGUUUGAAACAAACAACCAAAUUUACUUCGUUGAACCUUUCAUCUGAUUUCAAACACGGUGACUUUUUUUGUUCAACUGUAAGGCGCAAUGAUGCGUAACAAUUUUGACUCUUUUUGUUCAACUGUAAGGCGCAAUGAUGUGUGAUUUGGCUGUUUUCUUAACCCGUUUCAUGAACAUGAAAGUUUUCAUGUCUUUUGUGUCGAAUGUGUUGUCCGGUUUAUCACCGUCACCAUUCUUGCAUAUAUAAUGCUUAAAUUCGACGUCAGGGAAAUCCUCCACAUUCUUCACGACAAGCUUGUUCUUGCGAGCCAAAUCAGGAACCCCCCCACUCAGCAUAUGGGCCGGUCAUCUUUACUGUCAAAUGAAUCUGACCCUCCUCGUGAAGCUUCAUUUGACCACCCUCGUGACCCUCCUCGUGAGCAUCCUCGUGAACCUCCGUUUGACCCUCCUCGUGACCAUCUUCGUGACCCUUCGUUUGACCAUCUCGUCACCCUCCGAUUGACCCUCCUUGCCACCCUCCGAUUGACCCUCCUCGUCACCCUCCUCUUAUUCCUCCUCCCUGAGAUAGCUAGAACAACUUUUCAUAACACCAUCAAUUAAAUUUUUGUUCCUCCUGAGAAAAAAAAUCAAGUUAUUUAUUUCAUAGUUUGCCAACAAAAAAUAAAAAAUAAAAGCUGUUACCAUUACUAGAUACUGCUUAGGCUCCAUUCAUUUCCAAACACCCCACAAUGUGGGGCGUUGAAAAGAAUUUUGUCAAACACCUUAUCCUUCCACCCAGGGGUUUUGGAUAGGUCGGUGGCAUCCACGUUGUACAUAAGGGUUACACCUGAGGCUUCCAACAUUGUAAUAUGACCUUCGGCUCUUUUGUAUGUACGAAAUGACAUUUUUGUU